AUCUUUGCGCUUGGGGCAAUGACGCAGCUAGUGAGGUUCUAACCGAGGCGCGUCUAUUGCUGGUUGAAAACUAUUUCCAAACCCCCUCUUAGGCCUGGGUUCGGCCCUGGCCUAAGAGAAUUUCUGGAAGGGCUCCCUCCGGGGUAAAGCC
rfam:Citrus sinensis cultivar Ridge Pineapple sweet orange scaffold00188_contig_19, whole genome shotgun sequence.